rnacentral:rRNA from 1 species
CCUACGGGAGGCAGCAGUGGGGAAUAUUGGGCAAUGGGCGCAAGCCUGACCCAGCAACGCCGCGUGAAGGAAGAAGGCUUUCGGGUUUUAAACUUCUUUUGACAGGGGAGUGCAGCAGACGGUACCUGUCGUAUAAGCCACGCCUAACUACGUGCCAGCAGCCGCCUUAAUACGUAGGUGGCAGGCGUUGUCCGGAUUUACUGGGUGUAACGGGCGUGUAGCCGGGCUGACAAGUCAGAUGUGAAAUCCGGGGGCUCAACCCUCGAACUGCAUUUGACACUGGUAGUCUUGAGUAUCGGAGAGGUAGGCGGAAUUCGUAGUGUAGCGGUGAAAUGCGUAGAUAUUAGGAGGAACACCAGUGGCGAAGGCGGCCUGCUGAACGACAACUGACGGUGAGGCGCGAAAGCGUGGGGAGCAAACAGGAUUAGAUACCCGGGUAGUC